AAAAAAAUGAUACAUUAGAAUAGUCACCUUUGUUUCCAGCAGUGACUCCAAGGGAGGUGGCUUUGGAAGAUUGAAAAAUGUUUCCUUUUUUUUUUUUUUUUUUUUUUUUUUCGAGACAGGGUUUCUCUGUAUGGCCCUGGCUGUCCUGAAACCCACUUUUGUAGACCAGGCUGGCCUCGAGCUCAGAAAUCCGCCUGCCUCUGCCUCCUGAGUGCUUGGGAUUAAAAGCGUGUGCCACCACGCCCAGCUAAAUGUUUUCAUUUUUAAUGACCCAUUUGUAUGUGUAAAUGCUACAGGAGACCUGUAUUUAACCCACUGAACACAACUGUUUUUGUAUUUUAGAAUCUCUCCUUUGCUACCAUCUAUGAUGUCCUAUCAACAAAACCUGUCCUCAACAAGGUAUGUCCUCAACACACAAACACAUGUACAGCUUUCAGGAAAGUAUUUGCACCUAUGUUGUCUCUCUUACCUUAGAUCUUUUUGAGCAUAGUAAUUAUGUCUAAUUUCGGGUUUGUUAUUAUUUCAUUCAUCGACUCAUAUUUUGAGACAGAGUCUCUGUGCCCCAAAGUCAAGCCUUGACCUCACUUUGUAGCCCAGGCUGCCUUCAGACAUGUAGUCCUUCUGCCUGAGCCUCCUGAGUGCUGAGACUGCAAACAGGCACCAUCCUUCUCAGCUUUAAGGUCUGGCUUUUUAAAAAAAAACGAUUUCAAGUGCCUGAAACCAGCACUGUAGGAAUGUAGUUAGGAUGCUGUGUAUGUUAGGGUGCAUACACACACACUCUCACUUUCUCUCUCUCUCUCUCUCUGGGCAAUGCUGUCUCUGUCGUCUUAGCUUUGCUUGCAUGGCAUUGGACUAAGUCUAGUUUGACUUCUCCAUGUGUCAGAAAUUACACACUGUAUUGUUAACUAACACCUAACAGCUUGACUAGACAGACAAACUGAGGUUUCAGGUAGAGCCAGCCCUAUGUCUUUUCAGGGUGGGGCGGCUCCAUAACUUUAUUCUGUCCUUUUAUCUUUCCCUGAACCAUAACCAAGAAACCUAAUCAGCCCACUUGCUUAUAGUCAUUCUUUGUACAGAGGUCAUUUCAGGAUACAUUGCCCUUGACUAACCCAUUUUCUUUGUUCUUGCCUAAACAGGCUGCAUUGCCUCUGCCUUCUAGAACAAAGUCCUCUUCCCUUUAGCAUUCGCAACUAAACAGGGACUGUCUCCUUGAUUUACCUUGGUCAACCUACCAUUUCUGCUUUGGACAGUAUUCCCAUGUGGCAUCAUAAUGGGGUUCAUUGUAUGGUCUGCAUGAGCAGGGGGGUGAUGGUGUGUGCUUUGGACUGUGUGCCUACAGGGUUUUUUUGUUUUGUUUUGUUUUACUGUAAUGGAAAUGGGUUUAGGAUAAGCAUACUCAAAGCUCCACAGUGUAUCCUUGAGCUUUCCAUGACUGCCAGUUACACACUGGAGAGGGUUAAAUGAAUCUUAAAGUGUUCAUGAUUACUAUUAAAUAUCAUUAUAAAACAAAUUCUUUCGGGGGGGCACAAAUGCUAAUAUGUACAAGAAAAUCUUAGACUUGAAAAUAUCUUUAAAAUGAAAAUAACUUUUUUUUUCAGCUGACUGUAUUCACAACCUUGAUGGAUGUUACCAAAGGUCAAUUUGAAAGUCACCUUCGAGAUUGCCCAGACCCUUGUAUAGGCUGGUGAGCACACGUUGGCCAGCCUUGAGGACGUACUGAGACCCGAAGAUGUGUUGUGCAGAGAGCGUGCCUGGUCUCCUUCCAUAGGCUAAGGCUCAAGGCCUCUUGUCUUUAGUCAGGACUGUCCUCAUCAUGUUACAUUGUUUACAGGCUGUUUUGUUGUUUGUUUGUUCUGAUGAUCAUCAUCACUUCGACUCACAGGUAAAUUCUUUAAGGGACACCACAUAGAAAUUGCCAGUUCAUUUCACUUUGCCACUGCGGAAAGGGUAACUGUGACCUCCAUGGAACCCAUCAAAGUUCUCUGAUGGUGUUUGAGUCAGCGCCCUGUGUGAUUAAUGUAAAAGUUACAUUUUCUUUUUUAAUCUACAUACUUAUGUUUUUCUGUACACCAGUAGUUUUCCUUUUCCUGGUUCUCUCUUAGAACCAACCUGCCAUUCACCUUUGCUGGUGGUGACAGCAGUGCAAUGUCGCUAUGCUUGGCUGGAGUACCUCAGAUAGACAUUUGAUACUUAUUUUAAUGGGCAAUCAAUAGACCUCUGACUCUAGAAACAGUGUUUUGGAGGAUUAUAAAAUAACUAUUAUACAAACACUAUUUUUUUAAAAAAGAAUAAGUGUUCUCUUUUUCCUAGUUAUUCUGCCUGCCAGUAACCCCAGGAAGAGUCUAGCUUCAAAAACCCACAAACUCAUUAUUUUUAAUUCUUUUAUGUAUAAUCAAUGUAAUGUUUUUUCCUUCUAAUCAUAUUUUUUUAGAUUUUCAUACAAUAUAGUAUUAAUAUUUUUCAGAAAUCAAUGUAUUUAUGAAAACUGCAAACAGAACUUGUUCAUCUUUCUAACCUUCACAGUUGACAGUGAAGCAUUCUGUACAGUGUGGCAGACUGUAUCCAUUUAGUUUUGGACAGUCUGCGGUGUCGUGAUGCGCAAUAAACAGUCACUGUCAGAUAUGUCAGCAGUCAUGCAUGCUGACUGGGUGUGUGCCUGUGUUGGUUUGAGGGUGGGGGGUUAUUAUCAAGAGAUACAAGCUGAACAUAAUACCUAGAUUAAACAACAAGGGUUAUGCAAGCAGGUUACUAAACAUAUGACUUAAAUGGUCACAAUCUGCCAUGACUAAUACUUACCUCCUAACCCAGUAGUGUCGACCCAGUUUGCAGGUAUGCAAAAGCAGCUCCCCCUCACCCACAGACUGUGCCCAGGUGCUUCUGCAGGGCCUGUAUCACCAAGAUGGUUUAGGGAAGGAAUAGGAAUUCAUGAGGCUUUGUACUGACCUAGGAUACCAAGGUGGGCAAGGUGGUGCAUAAGCACAAUCUGAAUUUGACAGGUGUCAGCAGAAGAAUCAGAAGUUCGGGGCCAGCCUGGGAUACAUGGGAUAGUCUUCAAAAUCAAAAUAAUAAAAAUAGAAUAAGAGUCAAUUAAUUUUUUUAAAUAACUUGCAAUUUUGAGCCUCUCCUAGGAAUGAAAUGAGGUAGAACUGAUCCAUUUGGUGAUCUGCAGGAGGCCCUGACAGCACCUGAUUUCUACAGACUGCUUACUUAGCAGUACUUCAGCGACGUGAACUAACUGGCAUUAAGACUGUAAGUAGCCUGUUUAGAGGUGAAGCAGUUUUUAGACAGUGUAUGUAGUCCAAAUUUAUUUAUACAGGUGCUUCUAUAUCGCUGCCUACAUACAACUACAUAGACUAAAAAGUGAUGACCAGGGAGAUGUUAGCUAAAAUGUUGAGAGUCAUUUCCCCCAGUUAAUGGUCAGGGAUAUUAAGACUCAGAUCGGAUCC
rnacentral:lncRNA from 1 species